rnacentral:rRNA from 1 species
UACAGAGGUCUCGAGCGUUAGGCGGAAUCACUGGGCUUAAAGCGUGUGUAGGCGGGUCGGUAAGUACCUUGUGAAAUCCCACGGCUCAACCGUGGAACUGCUGGGUAUACUGGCGGUCUUGAGCCACCUAGGGGCAACUGGAACAAGCGGUGGAGCGGUGAAAUGCGUAGAUAUCGCUUGGAACGCCAACGGUGAAAACAGGUUGCUGGGGGUGUGCUGACGCUGAGACACGAAAGCCAGGGGAGCGAACGGG